AGGGAAAGAGGGCGGUAGGCCUACACAUGCAAGUCGAGCGGAUGAAGGGAGCUUGCUCCUGGAUUCAGCGGCGGACGGGUGAGUAAUGCCUAGGAAUCUGCCUGGUAGUGGGGGAUAACGUCCGGAAACGGGCGCUAAUACCGCAUACGUCCUGAGGGAGAAAGUGGGGGAUCUUCGGACCUCACGCUAUCAGAUGAGCCUAGGUCGGAUUAGCUAGUUGGUGGGGUAAAGGCCUACCAAGGCGACGAUCCGUAACUGGUCUGAGAGGAUGAUCAGUCACACUGGAACUGAGACACGGUCCAGACUCCUACGGGAGGCAGCAGUGGGGAAUAUUGGACAAUGGGCGAAAGCCUGAUCCAGCCAUGCCGCGUGUGUGAAGAAGGUCUUCGGAUUGUAAAGCACUUUAAGUUGGGAGGAAGGGCAGUAAGUUAAUACCUUGCUGUUUUGACGUUACCAACAGAAUAAGCACCGGCUAACUUCGUG
rnacentral:rRNA from 1 species